AGCAGUCGCCGCGGGAAUACGUAGGUGGCGAGCGUUGCCCGGAAUCAUUGGGCGUAAAGGGAGCGCAGGCGGGCAUGUAAGUCUUUCUUAAAAGUUCGGGGCUCAACCCCGUGAUGGGAAAGAAACUACAUGUCUUGAGUACAGGAGAGGAAAGCGGAAUUCCCAGUGUAGCGGUGAAAUGUGUAGAUAUAUGGAGGAACACCGGUGGCGAAAGCGGCUCUCUGGCUUGUAACUGACGCUGAGGCUCGGAAGCGUGGGGAGCAAACAGGAUUAGAUACCCCAGUAGUCCCUGUCUCUUAUACA
rnacentral:rRNA from 1 species